UAAAUAAAUAUUAUUGAUUAACAGCCUCCGAAUUGACAUUACCAGAAGGAAUGGAAGUUGCAACUUAUCAUGAUAUAUUCUUAAUUGUGCAAUGGAUAUGCAAUGAUUUGGGAAGUCAGAAUUUUAGCCAAGAAGAGUCUGGGAGGUAUUCCUGAGCAAGGAAUAAUGGAAAACUUCAAAAGGAAGGUCUUCUACCCCUUUGGACUGUAACCUCAGUGAGGUGAACCUGCUGAGAAUUAGAACUUGAAGCUUUAAGUUUGAGAUGCAGUUGCCAUGACAACCAAUAUCCACAUUUCUGCAUAGCACUAUUCAAAUGGGAUUUGGACAAAAGAAGAUCAGAAGGAAACUGUUACAUUAUGUAGUAUUCUCCUGUAUUUAAGAAAUAUUCUAGCUGCUUCCUAUCCACUUUUUAUUUCUUUACAUAAAUGUAUUUUAUCCCAAUAUAUACUGUUUAUCUGUUAAACUUGUAUCUAUUUUAUAAAAUUAUUAGCAGAAAUAAUGUGAUUCAUCUAAAUU
rnacentral:lncRNA from 1 species